AUUGAACGCUGGCGGCAGGCUUAACACAUGCAAGUCGAGCGGGGUGAUGGUGCUUGCACUAUCACUUAGCGGCGGACGGGUGAGUAAUGCUUAGGAAUCUGCCUAUUAGUGGGGGACAACAUCUCGAAAGGGAUGCUAAUACCGCAUACGUCCUACGGGAGAAAGCAGGGGAUCACUUGUGACCUUGCGCUAAUAGAUGAGCCUAAGUCGGAUUAGCUAGUUGGUGGGGUAAAGGCCUACCAAGGCGACGAUCUGUAGCGGGUCUGAGAGGAUGAUCCGCCACACUGGGACUGAGACACGGCCCAGACUCCUACGGGAGGCAGCAGUGGGGAAUAUUGGACAAUGGGGGGAACCCUGAUCCAGCCAUGCUGCGUGUGUGAAGAAGGCCUUAUGGUUGUAAAGCACCUUAAGCGAGGAGGAGGCUCUUUUGGUUAAUACCCAAGAUGAGUGGACGUUACUCGCAGAAUAAGCACCGGCUAACUCUGUGCCAGCCGCCGCGGUAA
rnacentral:rRNA from 1 species